rnacentral:rRNA from 1 species
GACGAACGCUGGCGGCGUGCUUAACACAUGCAAGUCGAACGGAAAGGCCCUGCUUUUGUGGGGUGCUCGAGUGGCGAACGGGUGAGUAACACGUGAGUAACCUGCCCUUGACUUUGGGAUAACUUCAGGAAACUGGGGCUAAUACCGGAUAGGAGCUCCUGCUGCAUGGUGGGGGUUGGAAAGUUUCGGCGGUUGGGGAUGGACUCGCGGCUUAUCAGCUUGUUGGUGGGGUAGUGGCUUACCAAGGCUUUGACGGGUAGCCGGCCUGAGAGGGUGACCGGCCACAUUGGGACUGAGAUACGGACCAGACUGCUACGGGAGGCAGCAGUGGGGAAUAUUGCACAGUGGGCGGAAGCCUGAUGCAGCAGCGCCGCGUGCGGGAUGACGGCCUUCGGGUUGUGAACCGCUUUCGCCUGUGACGAAGCGUGAGUGACGGUAAUGGGUAAAGAAGCACCGGCUAACUACGUG